rnacentral:rRNA from 1 species
CCCUUAGAUGUUCUGGGCCGCACGCGCGCUACACUGACAGAGCCAACGAGUUCUUUCCCUUGGCCGGAAGGUCUGGGUAAUCUUGUUAAACUCUGUCGUGCUGGGGAUAGAGCAUUGCAAUUAUUGCUCUUCAACGAGGAAUGCCUAGUAAGCGCGUGUCAUCAGCACGCGUUGAUUACGUCCCUGCCCUUUGUACACACCGCCCGUCGCUACUACCGAUUGAAUGGCUCAGUGAGGCCUUCGGACUGGCUCGAGGAGGUUGGCAACGACCACCUCAAGCCGGAAAGUUGGUCAAACUCGGUCAUUUAGAGGAAGUAAAAGUCGUAACA